UACGAAGGGGGCUAGCGUUGCUCGGAAUCACUGGGCGUAAAGCGCACGUAGGCGGAUCUUUAAGUCAGGGGUGAAAUCCUGGAGCUCAACUCCAGAACUGCCUUUGAUACUGGGGAUCUCGAGUCCGGAAGAGGUGAGUGGAACUCCGAGUGUAGAGGUGAAAUUCGUAGAUAUUCGCAAGAACACCCGUGGCGAAGGCGGCUCUCUGGGACGGUACUGACGCUGAGACGCGAAAGCGUGGGGAGCAAACAGGG
rnacentral:rRNA from 1 species